GAAUGUAAUUCACAAGGGCCAUGAUCGGAUUCAUAUUUCUUCAUCUCAUGAGCAAAUUGGGUGUGGGUGUGUAGGGAGUGUUGUCCCCAUGAAUGGAAGUAGCCUGGGACCAGUCUGUGGAAUGGAUUGCCGUUACCUUUUCCUUCUUGAAGCUUCUGCAUAUGUCUGCCCUUAGCUGGCAUUUUCCAGAUCAAUCCUUUCUAUUGGUGGAGAGCUUUCGUGAGCUUUCAAAUGAAAAUCCUGGCGUAGUACCCUCUCAAAAUCAUUUGAGAUGAACUUGACUCUCAUCACGCCUGCUCUGGCCCAACAGAGGAUGCUCUUAAGAACUUGUCUUUGUUGCUGGUGUUUCUUCACUAACAUAUUUCUGGGCAUGGAUGCAUAUAUGUUUAUAUGACUUGGAUAUGAGGUGUUAAACAGGCUGUCAGAGGGAGCCCAGCAAGAUGGAGCCCUCGCCGCCCACACCGGCCUCCUGCUCUGGAACGCGCUCUAUGGAGAAACUGAGAGGUACUUGGCCAACAUCCCGUGGCCAGGAAGUGGCCAAGUCAGGAUUCAGAACUGCCUGAGUCCCAAACCACCGCGGUUCAUCAUGAUGUCAACACGUUACAGCCAUUCCGUUUUAUAAGCAAGCACGCGUCAAGGUGUUGUUGGGGGAGAGCGAUGGAGCCCAUCUAGAGAGAUGUUUUUCAUUAAAACCUUGUAAUUACCCGACUUGUUGUAAAAAGAAGAUAAUUUGCUGCAGGUUUAAAGUCAUCAGUGGAGUAGGGAAACAACAACAACAACAACAACCCCAAAUUGCCACACGACUUCUGUCGCUUCACCUGGUGUCCUAAGGAGCCCCGGUAGCAGUUCAAAAAGAAGUUGUGAACACACUCAUUAAAAAGGGG